CUCCAUUCUCCCCUCACACCCCGUUCCCCCUCAGCCGCUGCUCUCCCCUCACACCAGUGGUGCUGCUGUGCCCAUCAGAGGGGAGAUCCCGGGCUGCAGUGGUGCCCUUGGUUAUGUUUUUGGCCGAUCUACGCUUAUAGAUGAUAUUGGUGAUCCUCCAGGCUCAAAGGCUGCAGUCGUGCCAUCAAGCUCUUGUAUUAGAGACCAGUGACUCAUUUUGUCCUGUCCUUGUCCCAAAAGAAAUGCUGGGCCUUUCCAAGGCCACGGGGUCCUGCGUUUGCCCAAAGAGAACAUUCCUGAGAGAUCUGGCUCUAGAAUUAUCUCAGUUUUACCCCAUUUUCUCUGUCUGCACCUUUCAGGUGUGCAAAUACCCUCAUCCUUGGACCUGCUCCAGUGGCAGCUCCCUGGGAGGCUCCGCUCUGCAGCUGGAGGGGUCGAGGUGAUUCUCUGGCAUUUUGCUGGUUUACCUGGUGCAGAUUUACCUGGUCUGUGACGCUGGAUAAAGUCAGGAUCUAAUUCUUUUUCAGCCCAAAGGUACAUCCCACUGCUCCUUGGGGGGCUGGAGGAGGCUGGAUUGACACCUGGAGGAAGCAGCUGAACUGGUGACAAGACACUGGAAAAUGCCCUUGGAGGAGGCAAAGGAAUGGCCCAGGCAGCUAAAAGACCACGUGCAGGGAUCAGUUUUUUUCGCUCCCUUACAACUCCAAGGAAGUGGUUUCCUCAGUCGAAUGGUCCUCAACAGUGCUGUGAGGGUGGCUGAAGAGCUUGUGAGGAUCACAAGACCUGCUUGUGAGGGUGAUUUCUUGAGGGCUCCUCCCAACGUGAAAGACCUGACAGUCUUAAAAAGCCGUGCAGAGGCCUCAUGGAGAUUUGUGAGCACAACAAACCCUGUCAGUCACAGGCAGGAGCAGCUGGUGUGUGCGUGGGAGUUGACAGGAGAUGUGGCUCUCCCAGCACACUGGACUCUGAUAACCUGGGAGAUCCGGUGUCACUGUGCGUGUCACAGUGUCACUGUGUGUCCUUGGGUCAUGCGCAGACAGCAGUGGAGUUGUGAUGGUGAGGAGACCUGGAGUGUCUGGGGGUGGUGAGGGGAAAACAACCCAGACAUGGCUGAUGCCCCAAAGGACUCCACUUGUGCUUCUCCACCUUAGUUGUGUUUAACCAUUUCAUAGGCUGCUUCUGCCCCUAAAUUGGAGACCAUUGCUGGUCUAAAUAAUCACAAAUUAUGUGCCUCAGGAGGUUUAUGUUGGACAUUAGGAAGAAUUUAUUCACAGGAAGGGUGAUUAGAUGUUGGAACA